rnacentral:rRNA from 1 species
GAGGAACCCGCGUCCCAUCAGCUAGUUGGUAGGGUAAUGGCCUACCAAGGCAAAGACGGGUAGCUGGUCUGAGAGGAUGAUCAGCCACACUGGGACUGAGACACGGCCCAGACUCCUACGGGAGGCAGCAGUGGGGAAUAUUGGGCAAUGGGCGCAAGCCUGACCCAGCCACGCCGCGUGAGUGAUGAAGGCCUUCGGGUCGUAAAGCUCUGUGGGGAGAGACGAAAGCCCCUUGGCUAAUAUCCAAGGGUUUGACUGUAUCUCCUUAGCAAGCACCGGCUAACCACGUGCCAGCAGCCGCGGUAAUACGUGGGGUGCAAACGUUGCUCGGAAUCAUUGGGCGUAAAGCGCACGUAGGCGGCGCAGCAAGUUGGAUGUGAAAGCCCUCGGCUUAACCGAGGAAGUGCAUUCAAAACUACUGGGCUUGAGUACAAAAGAGGAUCGCGGAAUUCCCGGUGUAGAGGUGAAAUUCGUAGAUAUCGGGAGG